rnacentral:rRNA from 1 species
GAUGAACGCUGGCGGCGUGCCUAAUACAUGCCAGUCGAGCGAACAGACGAGGAGCUUGCUCCUCUGACGUUAGCGGCGGACGGGUGAGUAACACGUGGAUAACCUACCUAUAAGACUGGGAUAACUUCGGGAAACCGGAGCUAAUACCGGAUAAUAUAUUGAACCGCAUGGUUCAAUAGUGAAAGACGGUUGUGCUGUCACUUAUAGAUGGAUCCGCGCCGCAUUAGCUAGUUGGUAAGGUAACGGCUUACCAAGGCAACGAUGCGUAGCCGACCUGAGAGGGUGAUCGGCCACACUGGAACUGAGACACGGUCCAGACUCCUACGGGAGGCAGCAGUAGGGAAUCUUCCGCAAUGGGCGAAAGCCUGACGGAGUAACGCCGCGUGAGUGAUGAAGGUCUUCGGAUCGUAAAACUCUGUUAUUAGGGAAGAACAAAUGUGUAAGUAACUAUGCACGUCUUGACGGUACCUAAUCAGAAAGCCACGGCUAACUACGUG